rnacentral:lncRNA from 1 species
GGGUAUAAAUGAGAAUUUUUAGUAUUUUUGAUGUGAAUUUAUAAAUAACUUCUACUUUGUUGAUUUAUAUAAAUAAAAUUUAUUGAUAUUAAUAGCUACAUAAAAAACUGUUUGGUAAUAUAAAAAAUUUUAAACUCAUAUAUUAGUGCUAAUAAAGUUAAAAUGUUCAACUGAACUUUGUCCUGACUAUUUAUGCACAAUGGCUGUAUUUCUUAUUUCAAAGGGAGAGAGCAUAAU